rnacentral:rRNA from 1 species
UGAGUCAUUGUAGCAAUACAAGGCAUACGGCUCAGUAACACGUAGUCAAUCUAACCUAUGGACGUGGAUAACCUCGGGAAACUGAGAAUAAUCCGCGAUAGAUCAUAAUUCCUGGAAUGGUUUAUGGUCCAAAUGAUUCGUCGCCAUAGGAUGGGACUGCGGCCUAUCAGCUUGUUGGUGAGGUAAUGGCUCACCAAGGCUAUUACAGGUACGGGCUCUGAGAGGAGAAGCCCGGAGAUGGGUACUGAGACACGGACCCAGGCCCUAUGGGGCGCAGCAGGCGAGAAACCUUUGCAAUGUGCGCAAGCACGACAAGGUUAAUCCGAGUGUUUCCUGCUAAAGGAAUCUUUUGUUAGUUCUAAAACCACUGAUGAAUAAGAGGUGGGCAAGUUCUGGUGUCAGCCGCCGCGGUAAAACCAGCACCUCAAGUGGUCAGGAGGAUUAUUGGGCCUAAAGCAUCCGUAGCCGGUUCUGUAAGUUUUCGGUUAAAUCCACUAGCUUAACUAAUGGGCUGCCGAAAAUACUGCAGAACUAGGGAGUGGGAGAGGUAGACGGUACUCGGUAGGAAGGGGUAAAAUCCUUUGAUCUAUUGAUGACCACCUGUGGCGAAGGCGGUCUACCAGAACACGUUCGACGGUGAGGGAUGAAAGCUGGGGGAGCAAACCGGAUUAGAUACCCGGGUAGUCCCAGCUGUAAACGAUGCAGACUCGGUGAUGCACUGGCUUGUGGCCAGUGCAG